rnacentral:rRNA from 1 species
GCGAAGGUAGCGCAAUCACUUGUCUUUUAAAUGAAGACCUGUAUGAAUGGCACGACGAGGGCUUAACUGUCUCCUUUUUCCAGUCAAUGAAAUUGAUCUUCCCGUGCAGAAGCGGGAAUAAUACCAUAAGACGAGAAGACCCUGUGGAGCUUUAGACACUAAAUCAGCCCUUGUCCAAAACCCCAAUUAAAGGAGUGAACACUAGAGUGAGACCUGAUCUAAUGUCUUCGGUUGGGGCGACCUUGGGGAAAGAAAAAUCCCCCAUGCGGAACGGAAAUACUAUGUUUCCAAAACUAAGAAAGACCACUCAAAGUAUCAAAAAUUUUGACCCACUAUAUGAUCCGGCUUAACACCGAUCAACGGACCGAGUUACCCCA